UACGUAGGGUGCGAGCGUUGUCCGGAAUUAUUGGGCGUAAAGAGCUUGUAGGCGGUUUGUCGCGUCUGCUGUGAAAAUCCGGGGCUCAACCCCGGACUUGCAGUGGGUACGGGCAGACUAGAGUGUAGUAGGGGAGACUGGAAUUCCUGGUGUAGCGGUGAAAUGCGCAGAUAUCAGGAGGAACACCGAUGGCGAAGGCAGGUCUGCUGGCCACUACUGACGCUGAGAAAGCGGAAAGCAUGGGGAGCGAACAGG
rnacentral:rRNA from 1 species